rnacentral:misc_RNA from 1 species
CGACAUAGAGAGAUUGCUGCCACCUGUAAACGGUGCUUCUUGGUACUUACCGAGCCACUGAGAUUGUGAUGAUGCUGAACCAAACGUAUUCAUCUGUGGUGUUUGAACCAAUUCAGGCAAGCAAGCUGAGUUGGGUGCCAAGAAGGCAUUAGAAUUAAUUGGGUUCAUCUGAGGAUUGGCAUGGUCUAGCCAUAUUGGAAGCCUUGGCUUUUGCCCAUCAACAAUGCUAAGAUCAGCCACCAGCUCGGAUCCAGGGGCAAAUUCAGGUCUAAACACUGAUGAAAAUUGAGAUAUCCCAGUGGAUUGAUGGUGAUUACUAUUAGGAGCUCCAUUGAUCAAAUCGCUUCUAAAGUUUGCAUUAAUGGCUGCUGAAACUGAAGUGAA